CACCAGAGUCAAUAAAAACAUUUGGUCUGAUUAGUUUUAGUUUCUAUGAAGUGGAAUCGACCUGUUAGGAGGUUUUUUUGGCAGGCAAAUUGACUUGUUUACUUUGUUUGACAUAAUUUAGAGAAGUUUCUUUGUUUUCCUUCAGUGACAAACAUUUCAAAUAAAAAUAGUUUACGUAAGUAAAGUUGGUAACAGAUGUGAGAAUUCCAUAAUCGAAAUCAUGCAUGGGGUACUGCUUUGAAGAAACUACACGUUGGGGGAACGUUUGAAACAACAAAAGUUUAAAAAAGAGAAAACUCAGCACAUAUAUUUUAAGCUAUUAUGUAAGGAAAAAAUACUUUUACAACCUAUGAUAAAUGACAAUGAGACUAUUCGAUGGCAUAUUUAAAAAUUGAGUUUCAGG